UUCACUCACAAUAGUUCUAAUUUUUAAAUGCUCUUCAGGUUAUGAGGAGGAUUUAAUGAGAUCAUACCCAUGGGACAUUUAUCAGAGUGCUGUUCACAUGGAUUCUAAGGAACUGCUCUUUGGCUGAAAUCCAUCACUGUCUGUAGUGCUACAUUUGACCCAGCAACUUCUGUCCUCCUUUCUUCAACUGGAGAUGCUUUUCAACAUCAGUACCAGAGUGCAUGCUGCUUUUUCCUGCUGAGCAUUGUAAGAGGAGUGCGUUUUUUCAACAAACAGACCCUUUAAUGAUUUUUUUCGAAGCCCAGGAUUGGCAUGCACUUAGCUGCCUCCAUCUGCUGUUGUUCCCUGAUACAGCAUGACCUCUGUCAA